rnacentral:rRNA from 1 species
AUUGAACGCUGGCGGCAUGCCUUACACAUGCAAGUCGAACGGUAACAGGUCUUCGGAUGCUGACGAGUGGCGAACGGGUGAGUAAUACAUCGGAACGUGCCCGAUCGUGGGGGAUAACGAGGCGAAAGCUUUGCUAAUACCGCAUACGAUCUACGGAUGAAAGCGGGGGAUCUUCGGACCUCGCGCGGACGGAGCGGCCGAUGGCAGAUUAGGUAGUUGGUGGGAUAAAAGCUUACCAAGCCGACGAUCUGUAGCUGGUCUGAGAGGAUGAUCAGCCACACUGGGACUGAGACACGGCCCAGACUCCUACGGGAGGCAGCAGUGGGGAAUUUUGGACAAUGGGCGAAAGCCUGAUCCAGCCAUGCCGCGUGCAGGAUGAAGGCCUUGGGGUUGUAAACUGCUUUUGUACGGAACGAAAAGCCUCUUUCUAAUAAAGAGGGGUCAUGACGGUACCGUAAGAAUAAGCACCGGCUAACUACGUG